UCCCUUAGAUGUUCUGGGCCGCACGCGCGCUACACUGAGUGUCUGAGAUACGAGUCUGCCUGGUCCGGCAAGGUCUAGGUAAUCGCUAAAAGACACAUCAUGCUUGGGAUAGAUUAUUGCAAAUAUUAAUCUUGAACGAGGAAUUCCUAGUAAGCGCAAGUCAACAGCUUGCGUUGAUUACGUCCCUGCCCUUUGUACACACCGCCCGUCGCUACUACUGAUUGGAUGUUUAAGCGAGGUUCUCGAACUGCUAGCGACCUAGCUUCGGUGAGGUCGCAGUGUGGGAAGUGAACCUAGCUUUGGUGUCUAGAGGAAGUAAAAGUCGUAACA
rnacentral:rRNA from 1 species